rnacentral:lncRNA from 1 species
CAAAAAAGGUCUGGGCUCACUAAAAUUAUUCCUUUGAUAUGCAGCUCAGCUACCAGGGCCAGUAUCCUGUGUUUUCACAGCCCGAGUUCCCUCAGGACGCCCCUUGCCCCUCUGGCUCACCUUUGAAAUUGGCUUUAUUCACAGAUGGCUGUGACAUCCUUUGUUUUGCCCACUUAACCACAGCCCCAGGUGGCUGAAAUAUUUCCGGUCUGAAAUACUGCCCCCAAAGGCACAGGGCAAUAACAUCAAGUGUAUAUGAUGAAGGUGAAGGGGGAGGUGCAUGCAGCCGUGCACACAUUUCACAGAAGUUUGUUGCUGGUCUUGUGAAGGUUACUACUAUACUAAUCAUGAGAGUCAUGAGGAGCAGACAUCACCACGAAGUAUUUUAGUGCUGGUUUUUUUGUUGUUUUGUUUUUUUUUCCUAGAUGGGAGGGGAUGUAAGAAUUGGGUACAUAAAAUCUUCCCCUAAAAAAUAUCUGACUAUCUGAAGAUCUGAUCUUCCAGUUUUCCCAGAGUUCAGCACUAGUGCCUCACUCCUGAUCUCCACCGUGAGCUCUGCUCAGGGGGUGCUGGAGUGGGCAGCUGCAGGGGUUCACGAUUCAAUUCAUGCAGAGGCAGAUGGCUAGUGGUAGCAAGUGCCAAACUCCAGUUCCCAAUGAUAUCUAUUUAUUUGUUUACUUCCUAGACAAGAUUGUCAGCUCCAGAGUUUGGGUCACUGCUUUGUCCUGUGUUUCAAAGAGAGCUUGGCAUGCAAGGAGGCUCACCAAAUACUGGUUUGGACGAAUUCUGCAUUUAAAUGUUUGCAGUUGUUCACGCCAGCCAACAUUUUCCACGGAUCAGAUUCCAUGUCCAGUGAGUCAAAAUUAUAAGAGAAAAGCAACAGGAUCUAAAUACUCUGUUCACUUGAGGCUCUCCCCGCCCCCCCACUCAGCAUGUGGCCGACAUCAAUGCUGCCCUCAAGGUACUGAGGUACUGAUUUUCUUCCUUUGGGGCGAAGCGUCAGAUUGUACAUCCUUAUCUCCUGAAGAUAGGUGUGGCCAUAGACUUGGGGCUUGGCCAGUGAAUGGUGAGUGGCAGGGACACGUGUCACGUCCAGCUGGAAGACUCUCAGAGUUAUCGCGAGACUUUACAGCUUUGAAGUUGGCUUUGUUCACAGAUGUUAAAGUGGAAAAAGCAAAACAAAGGAUGUCACUGGGGGAACCACAGUGGUGAGGUGUGAGGUCCAGGCAAUGCUGGUUUGUCAGCUUGGUCCUGAAGGGAGGAGGGCAGGGACUGGGGCUCCCCUCAGCCUGAGCUGGAUGUGGAGCAGGAGGCAGGACCAAGCUUCACGCUGUUAGGUCACUGAGAUUUUACAGUUGUUACCUGAUCGACUAGUACAAGUCACACAUUUCGUCUCAUUUAAUUUUUACAUUAUCCAUAGGAAGCAGUCAUUUCUUAUUCUUACCAUGGAGGGAACUGAUCUUCCAGAGGUUAAGGUCACUGAAAAUCACACAGCUAUAAGGAGGAGGAACUGAAAUUCAAACCCAAUUCUGGCUCAUUCCAUAAGCUUUUACACAUAAGCUUGUCCAGCUUUUCAGUAUGUGAUUGAACAUGUGUGUUAGAGUCCAUCUGGGCAAAAACAUGCUCAUAAGACCUUCAAUGGCCUCAUUCAAAAUGGGAGAGCCAUUGAAAAAAAUCCUUUCCCAAUCCAGCAACAUGUCAGCAAGCGAGGGCGAGGCUGAUCAGAACUGUGGGUGUCAUGUUUUCUCUGACAGCACAUACAACAAAUUAAAUAUUAAAACCCAGUUGAAGGUGAUUUGGGUUUGUUGGCUUUGGAAGAAGGCUAGAAAUACUUCCCACUUGGGUAAGAUAUUUAUUCCACCCAUCUCCAUUCAGGGAUUUUGAAAGCACUCGUGGCUUUGCCCCAAAACAAAAUAGACCAAAAAAAAAAAAAGCCUGAUAACCCUAUUUUAGGAGGUCUGGGUUGUUCUCUCCCUCUGUGUUACAAGCCACUCUCCGAAGGUCAUGGGAGGUCACAGACCAGGGCAAAGGGCAUUAGGAAUAUUCCUUAGAUGCAUGCAAUGCAUGUGGCUCCAGACUUCAGAGCCACCUGUAAAUGAAAAGGCAGCACAGAACUGGGGGGGAUGGGGGUGGAGGGUGGCGGCCAGUAACACUCCUCUUCCUAAGAUCCCGUGAUCGAUGACACCCUCUUUUUUUUUUUCAGUCAGAGGAGUUGGGGCCUGUUGUCAUGGUUGGGUUCUGGUUUGACAGUGGUUUUUCUAUAUUUCUCUUUAGAUCAGUCAUGAUUUGAAUUCACUUUGCAGUUAGGGAAGGAGGGCGCCUUCCUCUUUACUGCAUGUAAGACUAUCUAGGCAAACAGCAAAUUCUCCACCCAUGAAGAAAACUACUUUUCUACAUUUGGGAUGAUACAGUCAUUUCAUUUGUGGGAAAAAACAUGCUGUAAUGAAUUUAUUUCGGCCAUAGUGUGUGUUUAUUUAUAUCAGUCACAAUGUGUGUAUGAAUUUAAGUACCCAUAUUAUAUCCACAUAUAUAUAUAAUGGAGUCAGAAUAUGAAUUAGAAUUAUAUAUAUUAUAUAAUUAGAAGAAUGCUGAGUCCCUUCUGGUGGGAUCAUGUGGUUUGAUCUUGAUUAGGAACAAGUUGACAUGUGAAUGAUUUUUUUUCAAAUUUACUUAAAAAAAUUUUUUUUAUUUUAUGGCUAUACCCAUGGCAUAUGGAAGAUCGUGGUCCAGCGACUGAAUCUAAGCCACAGAUGUGAUCUAAACCUUAGCAGUGGCAACACCAGAUCCUUUAACCCAUUGCACUGGGCCAGGGAUCAAACCCAUACCUCUGCAGCAACCCAAGCCACUACUGUUGGAUUCUUAAUCCACUUCACCAAAGCAGGAACUCCAUGGAUGAUUUUUCAUUUUACUCAUAUCUCAAGGCUGAAAAGGAUAAGAACAGGCAGAGUUCCCCAGGUAAAAGGGUCAGAGUGUGGCCUUUUAAAGACUAGUCUCAGGAGUUCCCGUCGUGGCUCAGUGGUAAUGAGCCUGACUACUAUCCAUGAGAAUGCGGGUUCAGUCCCUAGGCCUUGCUCAGUGGGUUAAGGAUCCCACAUUGCUAUGGCUGUGGUGUCGGCUGGCCGCUAUAGCUCCCUAGCCUGGGAACUUCCAUAUACCGCAGGUGUGGCUCUAAAAAGACCCAAAAAAACAAAAGACUAGUUUCUCACAAUGUUAGUGAAUUUCACAUUGAUUAACACAGGGACUCUUACAAACUGGGUUUCCAUUUCCCUCUCAGGUGGAACUUGCAAAAUGCAGGUUAGUCUUGUAGCUGCAGACUACCUCUUUAUUGAAAUGGAAGAGGCCUGUUAGGAAGAGGUCUGUGUGGAACAUUUCUGGACCCAUGAAGGAAGGGCAUUCUGGACUGAUCGUCCUAAAAAUGAUGUCAGAUGAUCUGGGGUUCCAGAGAGCUCUGUUGGAUUUCGUGAGCACCAAAGAAGAGCCUUGCCUCUGCUAACAAAUCUCACUCUGAAAAAAGCUAGUUCAAGGAAGCCAUGAGGACAAAGGAAACUGUGGGCACUAAUGAAAAGCCCAGAGAAGAGAAAAGUCAGUAAUCAGAGCCACACAGCCUGUGUGGCUCCAAGCAUCUCUGUGGUCAGGAAUCAGGUGGCUUUAUUGAACAUGUGUCAAUCUACACACCAGGGCUGCGAGAGGGUGUUGGCAUAGAGUAGAGACAGUGGCAGAGAGAUGGAUGUAGUUCUUGCCAAACUGUGUGACUGAGUUAAGUUAAAAAGAUGGAAAGACCUGUCCUCUGGGUGGGACGUUGUGGCUUUGCUUCAAAGGCAAGAAAGGGGCUGAGGUUGGGAAGAGGUAACAGUCCUGAAGCCUUGAGGUGACUGGAGAACUUUAGUGAUCCCAUGGCAAGUCUUGUGAAUCAUACGGUGUCCGUCUCCCCAAAAGAUAUGUUCAAGUCCUAGCCCCAUUCAAGGUACCUGUGAAUGUGACCUUAUUUAGAAAUGGGGUCUUUGCAUUUGUAAUCAAGUUAAGAUGAGAUCCUGUUGGAAGAACAUGGCUCUAAUUCGGUAACUCCCAUCCUUAUGCAAAAGAGGGAAGGGGACCGUGUGGUGAUAGAGAUGGAGAUUGGAAUGAUGCUGUCAAGAGUGUCAAGGAUUUCUGGCAGCCACCAGAGGCUAGGAAGAAGCAUGGGAGGAUUCUUCCUUGGAAGCUUGGGGAUGUGGGGGUUGGGGGGAUAUGGCCCUGCCUACCACAUGGAUUUCAGACCUCUGGCCUCCAAACUGUGAGAGAAUAAACUUCUAUUGUUAUAAGCCACUCAAUUUGCCAUGUUGGUGUGGCAGCCUAGGAAAUGAGGACAGUGAGCAAAGAGCCAUUGGCUUCAGGGUCAGAGCAGAGGGAGAAGGUGAGCAGAACUUGGCCUAUGGAGUUCCCGUCGUGGCGCAGUGGUUAACGAAUCUGACUAGGAAUCAUGAGGUUUCGGGUUCGAUCCCUGGCUUUGCUCAGUAGGUUAAGAAUCCGGCGUUGCCGUGAGCUGUGGUGUAGGUUGUAAACGGCUCAGAUCCUGCGUUGCUGUGGCUCUGGCGUAGGCUGGUGACUACAGCUCCAAUUAGACCCCUAGCCUGGGAACCUCCAUAUGCCACAGGAAGUAGCCCUAGAAAAGGCAAAAAGAC